AAGCAGGCAGCUGCCAGAAAUUCGUUGGAUUUGAGGAGUCCAGAGCGCCGACCCGCUCUGUCUGCGUGGACUUAUUUCCUUGGAUCUUCGUGGACCCUGAAGUUGCCAAGUGUAUGUGCCUGCUCCAGAAAACAAAGGAAGCCACCAUUUUUUCUCAUUCACAGCGCAGGGAGAUACCUCAGUAGAAGCAUACAGUCCAGUCUUCAACUAGGGACCCCUACCAGGAUGUCCAAAAGGCUCAGCCCUCAGUUACAGCACAACAUCACAGAAGAUACCUAUUGUGAAACACACCUGGAACCAACACGGCUGUUCUGUGAUGUUGACCAAAUCACACUCUGCAGCAAAUGCUUCCAGUCCCAGGAGCACAAACAUCACAUGGUGUGUGGGAUACAAGAGGCUGCUGAGAAUUACAGGAAGUUAUUCCAGGAAAUAUUGAACACAUCGAGGGAGAAACUUGAAGCAGCUAAAAGCAUAUUGACUGAAGAGCAAGAAAGAAUGGCGAUGAUUCAGGAAGAGGAACAAAAUUUUAAAAAGAUGAUUGAGUCUGAGUAUAGUAUGAGACUCCGGUUGUUGAAUGAAGAGUGUGAGCAGAAUCUCCAGAGACAGCAGGAAUGCGUAUCUGACUUGAACUUGAGAGAAACCCUUCUGAAUCAAGUGAUCAAGCUUGCCACGGAGCUAGAGGAGAUGUUCCAGGAAAUGCUACAGAGACUGGGCCGUGUCGGGAGAGAGAACAUGGAGAAACUGAAGGAGAGUGAAGCCAGGGCUUCUGAACAGGUCCGCAGCCUCCUAAAGCUCAUCGUGGAGCUUGAGAAAAAGUGUGGGGAAGGCACCUUGGCAUUGCUCAAGGUAAGAUGCUGGGAAAAAGAAAAUAAAAUUCAUUCCAGUAUUUGAGAAAUGAGAAGUGGACAGUACUCAUUAGGGGUUGCUGCCAGAACACAAUAUCCAAUGAUCUUUAACCACAAAAGAAGGCUACAUGACUUUCUUUCAGCUGCCAAAAGCUUUAGGAAUGGUCAUAGCUUUGUGGGAUAGUGUGGAGCUGCUUCAUGAGAUGAAUUCUCACCUUAAAAUUAUCAGCAGUAAGUUAGGGUUGAGAUGUGACACAGUGUGGUUAAUACCUCCAUGCAAUGAAAUAUUCUGUAAUCAUAAAGAAUAAAACAGCUCUAUAGGCACUAAAAUAGUAUUUCAAGCACUCAUUAAGUGAAAAAGAAAGAUGCAGACUGCUUUUUGUUUGAUCUUUGGAUAAUAAGUAUAUAU
rnacentral:sRNA from 1 species